rnacentral:tRNA from 1 species
GCCGGAGUAGCUCAGUUGGCUAGAGCAGCGGUUUUGUAAACCGCAGGUCGGGGGUUCGACUCCCUUCUCCGGCU